CCUCCCCAGCCUGCACUCAGCAGCCAGCCCCAGCCCAGCCAUGGGCAAAGAGCCAGAGCAGGUGCACAGCGCUCCAGGAGGGCCCGGACCAGGCCUGGCUCCCACUCCACUCGGCCCCUCUGGGCCAGCAGCAGAGGGUGCAGAUGAGGAGCUCAGGCCCAGGCAUGGACCCGCAGUGCAGGGCAGCCUGGCCAGGGAGACCUGACCCUCCACGGUGCUCCUCCAGCAGCCCAGACAGUGAACGCAACCUCUCCCAGCCUCUUCCCGCUGAACUUCUUCCCACCUGUGUCGAACGGGAAUUCAAAGACCGUGGUCGUCGGCUGCCUGAUCCGAGGCUUCUUCCCGCUGGGGCCUCUGAGUGUGAGCUGGAACGCCAGCGGGGAGAGCGUGACCUUCCCACCUGUCCAGUCAGAUACUUCAGGCCUGUACACCAUGUGCAGCCAGCUGAGCCUACCAGCCACGCAGUGUCUUGGAGGUGACAGUGUGACCUGCCAAGUGGAGCACAACGAAAACACCCAGCAUCUGGAGGUGCCCUGCCUAGACUGCCACUGCCCCUGCCCCAGCUCCUCGUCCUCCUGCUGCGGUGAGCCCAGCCUGUCCCUGCAGCGGCCAGACAUCGGGGACCUGCUCCUGGAAUCGAAGGCCAGCCUCACCUGCACCCUGAGCGGCCUGAAGGACCCCGAGGGCGCCGUCUUCACCUGGGAGCCCACAAACGGGAACGAACCCGUCCAGCAGAGCCCCCAGCGUGACCCCUGCGGCUGCUACAGUGUGUCCAGCGUGCUGCCCGGCUGUGCGGAGCCCUGGAACGCGGGGACAGAGUUCACCUGCACAGUCACCCACCCUGAGAUAAAGGGCGACUCCCUAACAGGAACCAUCAGCAGAGGCAGCCUCACCCCACCCCAGGUCCACCUGCUGCCGCCACCAUCGGAAGAGCUGGCGCUCAACGCACUAGUGACGCUGACCUGCCUGGUGCGGGGCUUCAGCCCCAAGGAUGUGCUGGUGUACUGGACGAACAAAGGCGUGAAUGUCCCUGAAAACAGCUUCCUGGUGUGGGAGCCCCUGCCCGAGCCCGGCCAGGACCCCACCACCUACGCCGUCACCAGCCUGCUGCGCGUGCCGGCCGAGGACUGGAACCAGAAUGAAAGCUACACCUGCGUGGUGGGCCAUGAGGGCCUGGCCGAGCACUUCACCCAGAAGACCAUCGACCGCCUGGCGGGUAAACCCACCCAAGUCAACGUGUCUGUGGUCGUGGCAGACGUGGAAGGCGUCUGCUACUGAGCCCCCUGGCCUGCCCUGAAUAAACUCCGUGCUCGCCCCCAGCA